rnacentral:rRNA from 1 species
ACGAACGCUGGCGGCGUGCUUAACACAUGCAAGUCGAGCGGUAAGGCCCUUUCGGGGGUACACGAGCGGGCGAACGGGUGAGUAACACGUGGGUGACCUGCCCUUAGCUCUGGGAUAAGCCUGGGGAAACUGGGUCUAAUACCGGAUAUGACUCCAUGACGCAUGUUGUGGGGUGGAAAGCCUUGUGCGGCUAGGGGAUGGGGCCCGCGGCCUAUCAGCUUGUUGGUGAGGUGAUGGCCUACCAAGGCGACGACGGGUAGCCGGCCUGAGAGGGCGACCGGCCACACUGGGACUGAGACACGGCCCAGACUCCUACGGGAGGCAGCAGUGGGGAAUCUUGCGCAAUGGGCGAAAGCCUGACGCAGCGACGCCGCGUGAGGGAUGACGGCCUC